UAUUAAUUCUCAGCCUUUCACCAUCUAACACUUACACACACAAUCACCAUCUUCUUCUUCCAAUAUACACCCAUUAGCUACCAUUCAACAACACACUUCAACUAUCACUUUCUCUUACUAACUCUCACUCUCUUUCAACUCUAGAAACUCUCUCAAACUCCUUAGAACUCACAAGGUUCGGCCAGCCCCAUAGCAGCCCACUUUCAAGACCAAAACCGGCCCGUUUCCACGGCGAUCGCCUCCUAACCCAACCUGAGCUUCAAAAAAACGACAUACCCCGUUGUUUUCGACCUCCCGAGUCCGUUGGUGGUGGUAGUUUUUCCAUUUGAGGCCUCCAACACCUCAUUCCAGUAUUGCACCAAAUCGGAUCCCCAGCUCAGGUCAGCAGCGCCCAUUAUAAAUUCCUCGGUCUCUCGGUGAACUUCUUCCCUCUACGACUAAGGUGAGUCGUGCCCAUAUCCCUUGACGGGUCACCCACGACCCACACUCUUCCCCGUGACAAGGAGGCCACGGUCCAAGAGCCGAGCCACCUUGUGCAACCAUCGUGAGCUCCCUUUCUUCCUCUCGGAUUUUCUUCCUUUUCUUUCUGUUUUCAUUUGCAGGCGGGUCAGUAGAGGAGCCAGCCACUUAUGAGCCACCUCCAGCCACGACCCGGGGUCCCUUAAGAGUCGUAAGCCACCAUGCCAAGUUGAUGGAACAGUCCCUAGCAGCUCAACUAGCUCUAACAAAUCGCAGCUCCACCCGAGCCCUUCCCGAGUCCUUCUCGAGACAUCCAACAACCUGAGCGUCCAACACUAUUUCUCCUUCUUUUUUCCUCUUCGUUUUAGUUUGUUUUGCAGGUUGGAAACCCUGAGACAUUCCAAAAUAGCCACUGCACCACCAACAGCUCGAAGACCUCGAAAACUCAUUCUCGAGUCCAUUCUAUGGUUGGGAACCUCCGGAGCAGUCCCUAGCAGUCGCACCUCCACAGCUAUCCGAGAGAGCCCGAGAGUUCCCUCACGGUUCAAUCUUCUGUUCAGCACUGAGCUGGACAGUUGCAGCUUAUUCUGGCCCUUUUCCAACUCAUUUUUACCUCCAAGGCAUAGGUAUAAUAUCCUCGAAACCCUUAGAGAAUUUAUGACUUUAGUUUCCGAGCUUUGUGGGGUGAUAAGGUGGUCCACGACCGAUUAUAUGCAUGUUUUACUUGGUUUACAUGUUUAUUUAAUGUUGUGUUGCAUGCUAGCAUGACAUGAAGUGGUUAAAUUCGGAGUCAGGGAGACCGCCAUGGCUCGAAAAACCCAUUGGAGCUGAUUUAAAUUCAUUUCUCGUAUUGUUAUCACUCUUUAGUGAUGAUUGAUAUCACUCGAGCACUCAUCUUAAAGUGAAGCUAGAGUGUGUGAUUACUAAUAUCACUCUCGAGUGAUGACUAAUAUCACUCCAGUACUCCUCUUAAAGCGAAGCAAAGCGAGUGUGUGGUUACUGAUACCACUCUUUAGUGAUGACUGGUAUCAUUAGAGCAUUCAUCUUGAAGCGAAGCGAGUGUGUGGUUGUUUAUACCACUCUCGAGUGAUGACUGAUAUCAUAUGAGCACUCAUCUUGAAGCGAAACGAAGCGAAGCGAGUGUGUGGUUACUAAUUACCACUCUCGAGUGAUGAUUGAUAUCACUCGAGCACUCAUUCUGGAGCGAAGCGAAGCAAGAAUGAGUUACUAAUACCAUUCUCGAGUGAUGAGUGAUGUCUCUCCAGCACUCAUCUUGAAGCGAAGCGGAGUGAAUGUGUGGUUACUGAUACCACUCUUGAGUGAUGAGUGAUAUCAUUGAAGGCAUCAAUGAAGGUCCCUAACUAGGCCACAUCUCUGUAAUAGCUAUUAGGUUUCUCUCGGUAAGGUGUUCAAUAGCUAUCCUCAGCAAUAAACGAUGCGCAAUAAGCUCAUACCAUGAGCAUAU